rnacentral:lncRNA from 1 species
GUGGGGUCUGGCCGGAGCGCGGUGCAGGCGGCGAGUGCUGCUGAGGCGCCGGCGCGGAAUGCGGCGGCUACGGUGGCGGCCGCGCGGGGAAAGGCCUCGCGGCCGGGGGCGGGCGUGGGUGGCGAGAGGGGGUGGACGCGGCGGGAGGAGCCCGCGCGAAGCCGUGUGCCCGGCCGGGCGGCCUGCGAGAAGCGCUGAGUCAUGGCAGGAGAUCAGCCCAGCGGACGUGCGAGGAGGAGGAGGAGAAGAAGGAGGAAGAGCUGGGCGCUGGCGGUGCCGCAGGGACUUGGGGGCAGUCUUUGGGAAGCUCGCUCUGCAGAACCAUCCUGGAUACCAGCCAUGCCCAGGGGCCUGAGGCAGGAGGGAAUCAACCUUGACCUAAAAAGCCUAACCUGCGUGGAACUGGGAGAAAGGGAGAACAGGAGAGCAUGAGCCGACACCGUGUCAGUUUCUGUAAAGUAUCCAAUGGGAAUUUUAUUUGCUUUUAAAAGACAGGAAAAGUGUUAGGGUGCAAAGGUCCAAUGAAUAGUCAUUUGUCUUGUGCAUAAUUUCCCUGCAAGUUCUAGAAGCCAGGAUGUUCAAGAACCACUGCUCUCUGAAUAACCAUAGGGAACUGGAUCUUUCAGUGCUUCAGUGUCUUUGAUAAAACAAGGACAUCAGGAUAUAUGAUCUUCCAGCGCUAAAAUCUUGUUACUGUAUUAUUGAUAUUUAUACUUGAAGGUUCAAAGACUGGAAGAGUAGUCAGGUCCAAGUCAGCAUAAAAGGAGAGUUUGUCUGACCAUCACCAACAACAACACUGUAUAAUAACAGCAAACACUAAAGCUUUCUGAUGCCCUGAUUUUCUUUUCAGUGGAUAGGAUGAUUAGCUUCUGCACCUUUCAUCUCUACCUACUGAUAUUACAAAAGAUAGUUUCGGGGAUUAUUUGUUGGUUUUGUAUUUCCAUAAACUAGACACACUUCCAAUCCCAGUGUCCUUUUUUGUUCUCAAUUAUGUUUCUUUACCUUAUAAGAAAAAUUUGUACAAUAAUUGGAUUUUGGCUAUACUAACAUUAAAAAGCUUUCUUGGCUUAGUUUUUGAACCUUCUAGAAUCACUUGUUUUCAUAGAGAACAUUUUAUGGGCAUCACAAAGUUCUUUAAAAACAUUCCCUCCAUUUAAAUGACACCUUUUAUUGUGAAUUCUAUAAUCCAUAAAUAAUUAACCCUGUAUCAUCUGACAAGAAGGUAUGCUUUACAAACUCACUCUCAUAAUUAACUGAGGCACACUGCAAUUAAAAGUGCUUUGUGUGAGACGAAAACAGAUUAACAGUAGGCCUGGAAGCCAGACUCAAGAUGUUUAAGGAGAAACAAAAAUGUUAGUACAACAGAACCUUAUUAUAAUGAAGUUCUUAUUAAAUAAAUUUAGAUAUAUCACCU